rnacentral:rRNA from 1 species
CACGUGGGUAACCUGCCUGUAAGACUGGGAUAACUCCGGGAAACCGGGGCUAAUACCGGAUGCUUGAUUGAACCGCAUGGUUCAAUUAUAAAAGGUGGCUUUUAGCUACCACUUACAGAUGGACCCGCGGCGCAUUAGCUAGUUGGUGAGGUAACGGCUCACCAAGGCGACGAUGCGUAGCCGACCUGAGAGGGUGAUCGGCCACACUGGGACUGAGACACGGCCCAGACUCCUACGGGAGGCAGCAGUAGGGAAUCUUCCGCAAUGGACGAAAGUCUGACGGAGCAACGCCGCGUGAGUGAUGAAGGUUUUCGGAUCGUAAAACUCUGUUGUUAGGGAAGAACAAGUACCGUUCGAAUAGGGCGGUACCUUGACGGUACCUAACCAGAAAGCCACGGCUAACUACGUGCCAGCAGCCGCGGUAAUACGUAGGUGGCAAGCGUUGUCCGGAAUUAUUGGGCGUAAAGCGCGCGCAGGCGGUUUCUUAAGUCUGAUGUGAAAGCCCCCGGCUCAACCGGGGAGGGUCAUUGGAAACUGGGGAACUUGAGUGCAGAAGAGGAGAGUGGAAUUCCACGUGUAGCGGUGAAAUGCGUAGAGAUGUGGAGGAACACCAGUGGCGAAGGCGACUCUCUGGUCUGUAACUGACGCUGAGGCGCGAAAGCGUGGGGAGCGAACAGGAUUAGAUAC